GACGAACGCUGGCGGCGUGCCUAAUACAUGCAAGUUGAGCGCUGAAGGUUGGUACUUGUACCAACUGGAUGAGCAGCGAACGGGUGAGUAACGCGUGGGGAAUCUGCCUUUGAGCGGGGGACAACAUUUGGAAACGAAUGCUAAUACCGCAUAAAAACUUUAAACACAAGUUUUAAGUUUGAAAGAUGCAAUUGCAUCACUCAAAGAUGAUCCCGCGUUGUAUUAGCUAGUUGGUGAGGUAAAGGCUCACCAAGGCGAUGAUACAUAGCCGACCUGAGAGGGUGAUCGGCCACAUUGGGACUGAGACACGGCCCAAACUCCUACGGGAGGCAGCAGUAGGGAAUCUUCGGCAAUGGACGAAAGGCUGACCGAGCAACGCCGCGGGAGAGAAGAAGGUUUUCGGAUCGUAAAACUCUGUUGGUAGAGAAGAACGUUGGUGAGAGUGGAAAGCUCAUCAAGUGACGGUAACUACCCAGAAAGGGACGGCUAACUACGUG
rnacentral:rRNA from 1 species